CUGGUGCUUCUCGUUCUGCUCGAUCUUGGCUUCAAUUUCAGUCAGCUUCUUUCUAAGAAACUUCUGAUACGCCCUGUUCCUCCGGAUUGCCUCAACAAAGGCUUGCGCAGCUUCAGGGAAGCUUGAAGAUUGGUCAAGAGGUGCAGUGGCAUUGUUCUCAUGUAAAUCAACAGAAUCACCCGCUUGUGUUCCUUCUGAAUCAGGCAAUGUGAAAACUUUUCCCCCCUGAUCUGGAAAGCUUUCACAAGUAUUAACAAAGGCUUGCGCAGCUUCAGGGAAGCUUGAAGAUUGGUCAAGAGGUGCAGUGGCAUUGUUCUCAUGUAAAUCAACAGAAUCACCCGCUUGUGUUCCUUCUGAAUCAGGCAAUGUGAAAACUUUUCCCCCCUGAUCUGGAAAGCUUUCACAA
rnacentral:lncRNA from 1 species